UGUCAUGACCUUGAAUGACCCCUUCUU
rnacentral:piRNA from 1 species